rnacentral:rRNA from 1 species
ACUGCUCAGUAACACGUGGAUAACCUGCCCUGCGGUGGGAAAUAACCCCGGAAACUGGGGAUAAUGUCCCAUAGGCUACGGAUGCUGGAAUGCUCUGUAGCUCAAAGAUUUAUCGCCACAGGAUGGGUCUGCGGCCGAUUAGGUAGUUGUUGGGGUAACGGCCCAACAAGCCUUUGAUCGGUACGGGUUGUGGGAGCAAGAGCCCGGAGAUGGAUUCUGAGACACGAAUCCAGGCCCUACGGGGCGCAGCAGGCGCGAAAACUUUACAAUGCGGGAAACCGUGAUAAGGGAACUCCGAGUGUCCGUCAAUGCGGACUGUCCGUAUGUUUAAAAAGCAUGCGAAGAAAGGGCCGGGCAAGACCGGUGCCAGCCGCCGCGGUAAUACCGGCGGCUCGAGUGGUGGCCACUAUUACUGGGCUUAAAGCGUUCGCAGCUGGGUUGUUAAGUCUCUUGGGAAAUCUAUCGGCUUAACCGAUAGGCGUCCAAGGGAUACUGGCAAUCUAGGGACCGGGAGAGGUGAGGGGUACUUCAGGGGUAGGAGUGAAAUCCUGUAAUCCUUGGGGGACCACCUGUGGCGUAGGCGCCUCACCAGAACGGCUCCGACAGUGAGGGACGAAAGCUGGGGGAGCAAACCGGAUUAGAUACCCGGGUAGUCCCAGCCGUAAACGAUGCGCGUUAGGUGUAUCGAUGACCACGAGUCAUCGAGGUGCCGAAGGGAAACCGUGAAACGCGCCGCCUGGGAAGUACGGUCGCAAGGCUGAAACUUAAAGGAAUUGGCGGGGGAGCAC